UAUGCAAAAUCAUCGUUCUAAAAUAAGGAGUAUUAGUUACAUUAUUAAAAUCAUAUUCGUGUAAAAUUACCACAAUGAAGUUAUUGAUGGUAACACUUAUAUGUUUAUUACUUGUUUAUAGCACUUUAUCUGCACCACAGUAUUAUUAUUAUAUGGUGAACGGAAACUACUACUUAGUAAGUUUGGUUCCAGGUCAGUGUCAUAACUGUAAUUAUAUAGGAAAUGGAUCCAAAAAUACCAAUACUGUAUAUUUAAAAAGUGAUUCUCUUAAUCCUAGAUGAUUAUAUCUAAAAGAUAAGAAAAGAAUUACACUAUAAAAUUUAGCCAAAAAUAAAGUGACAUCUGAUUUUAAAAUAUUUUAAAAUAACUUUUACUUCGUUCAUUUUGUGUAAUUUUGAACUAUGCAUAAAAAAUUAACACAUUAAAAAAUGUAGUUAAUAAUUAUUGAUAUUAUUAAUAUUAAUUUAUGUCUUAUUGCUCCUGAAUAAAGUAAGAAACCAUUGAAAAAUUGUGGCUAUUUUGUAUAUUCUUGGAUAACAAAAUGUGAUAAAUUAUGAAAAUUAUUUUUUUACAAAAAAAAUGAUUUAAUUUCACUCUAUUACAUUAAUGAUUACAAAUAAGAAAUCACAGAAACUGUUGUUGAUUUUACAUUCUUACUAAUUAAUUAUAGUAGUACGUAAUAAGUAGGUACUUUAAUUAGUAUAAUAUUACCUUAGACCACAACCUUUGAGCUUUGCGCAAAUACUGCGUUAUGAUGCAUUUUAAUCGUGAUGUAAGAGAUUUUUGUUAAUAUAAGAAUUCAGAAAGG